CAGAGAAUAGUUUAUUUUAAAAUAUUAACUUUGGAAGUUAAAGAUGUCUAGCUAUUUUCUUCUCUGA
rnacentral:tRNA from 1 species